AUGCAUGUAUAAGUAUAACCUGCCAGACAGGGAAACUGCGUACGGCUCAUUACACCAGCCUUAAUUUACUUGACCUUGACAACCUACUUGGAUAACUGUGGUAAUUCUAGAGCUAAUACAUGCACCAAAGCUCCGAUCCCUUGYGGAGAGGAGCGCAUUUGUUCGCCACAAAACCAAGCGCCCUCACGGGCGUUCAGUGUUGACUCAGAAUAACUAAGCUGAUCGCACGGUCUUGCACCGGCGACGUGUCUUUCAAGUGUCUGCCUUAUCAACUUUCGAUGGUAGUGUACCUGACUACCAUGGUGAUGACGGGUAACGGAGGAUCAGGGUUCGACUCCGGAGAAGGGGCCUGAGAAAUGGCCACUACGUCUAAGGAUGGCAGCAGGCGCGCAAAUUACCCACUCUCAACGCGAGGAGGUAGUGACGAGAAAUAACGAGACCGUUCUCACAAGAGGCCGGUCAUCGGAAUGGGUACAACACAAACCCUUUAACGAGUAUCUAUGAGAGGGCAAGUCUGGUGCCAGCAGCCGCGGUAAUUCCAGCUCUCAAAAUGCAUAGAAUUAUUGCUGCGGUUAAAAAGCUCGUAGUUGGAUCUGUGCUGGUCGCCCGGUCCACCCUCUGCGGUGCGCACUGGUGCGGCUGGCUUUCCUGUCCGCUUCCUCACCGGCGUUGGCCUUCAUCGGCAGGCGUCGGCGGGCGGACGAGUUUACUUUGAACAAAUCAGAGUGCUUCACACAGGCGUUUCGCUUGAAUGUUCGUGCAUGGAAUAAUAGAAGAGGAUUUCGGUCCGAUUUUAUUGGUUUUGCUGACCGAGAUAAUGGUUAA
rnacentral:rRNA from 1 species